rnacentral:tRNA from 1 species
GGCCUUAUGGUCUAGUCGUAUGAUUCUCCCUUUGGGUGGCGUUUGCGAGCUCGCAUGGGAGAGGUCUCGGGUUCAAUUCCCGAUGAGGCCC